UACGUAGGGAGCGAGCGUUGUCCGGAUUUACUGGGUGUAAAGGGUGCGUAGGCGGCUAUGCAAGUCAGUAGUGAAAUCCAUGGGCUUAACCCAUGAACUGCUAUUGAAACUGCACAGCUUGAGUGAAGUAGAGGUAGGCGGAAUUCCCGGUGUAGCGGUGAAAUGCGUAGAGAUCGGGAGGAACACCAGUGGCGAAGGCGGCCUACUGGGCUUUAACUGACGCUGAGGCACGAAAGCGUGGGUAGCAAACGGG
rnacentral:rRNA from 1 species